AAUCAUGUUUAUUGAUCCAUCUCUUCCUCUGCAUGUUCUGUUCUUCCUCAGAGUGUAAAGGAGAAGACAAAGUGAUCCAGGAACAAGGAGAUGUCAUUGCUGCUGAAGGAGACACAGUUACACUUUACUGCAAAUAUGAGACCAGUGACUCCAGUCCAUAUUUGUUCUGGUACAAACAAGAAGUAAAUAGUUACCCAAAUUAUAUGUUGCAUUGUUUGUCAACCUCAACAGUUAAGGCUGACGAGUUCAACAACGACAGAUUUGAUGCCAAAAUCAACAAAACAGAAAAGUCAGCUCCUCUGAAGAUCCAGAAGCUUCAGCUGUCUGACUCUGCUGUGUACUACUGUGCUCUGCAGCCCACAGUGACAGGAAACAGCAAAACUCUGUACAAAAACCUUUGGAGCAAAGACAACAGAAUACUCCACAACAUCCACUAGAGGGAGCCA